AUCGCUUCUCGGCCUUUUGGCUAAGAUCAUGUGUAGUAUCUGUUCUUAUCAGUUUAAUUCUGUAUCCUCAGCUUCUAUUUUUCCUACUGUCGGCAUCCAGUAAAGCUUUGUUGAAUGGAUUAAUUAACAAGAGUAGUUAGGCUUUGAGGUUGAAAGUGAAAGAGAAUUUGUCCUAAGUUUUACAUCUACU